rnacentral:rRNA from 1 species
GAUGAACGCUGGCGGCGUGCCUAAUACAUGCAAGUCGAGCGAACGGACGAGAAGCUUGCUUCUCUGAUGUUAGCGGCGGACGGGUGAGUAACACGUGGAUAACCUACCUAUAAGACUGGGAUAACUUCGGGAAACCGUAGCUAAUACCGGAUAAUAUUUUGAACCAGAUGGUUCAAAAGUGAAAGACGGUUUUGCUGUCACUUAUAGAUGGAUCCGCGCUGCAUUAGCUAGUUGGUACGGUAACGGCUUACCAAGGCAACGAUGCAUAGCCGACCUGAGAGGGUGAUCGGCCACACUGGAACUGAGACACGGUCCAGACUCCUACGGGAGGCAGCAGUAGGGAAUCUUCCGCAAUGGGCGAAAGCCUGACGGAGCAACGCCGCGUGAGUGAUGAAGGUCUUCGGAUCGUAAAACUCUGUUAGUAGGGAAGAACAUAUGUGUAAUUAUCUGUGCACAUCUUGACGGUACCUAAUCAGAAAGCCACGGCUAACUACGUG